rnacentral:rRNA from 1 species
UACGUAGGGUGCAAGCGUUGUCCGGAAUUAUUGGGCGUAAAGGGCUCGUAGGCGGUUUGUCGCGUCGGGAGUGAAAACACCGGGCUCAACCCUGGGCCUGCAUUCGAUACGGGCAGACUAGAGUUCGGUAGGGGAGACUGGAAUUCCUGGUGUAGCGGUGAAAUGCGCAGAUAUCAGGAGGAACACCGGUGGCGAAGGCGGGUCUCUGGGCCGAUACUGACGCUGAGGAGCGAAAGCGUGGGGAGCGAACAGG